AUUGAACGCUGGCGGCAGGCUUAACACAUGCAAGUCGAACGAGUGGCGGACGGGUGAGUAAUGCUUGGGAAUCUAGCUAAUGGAGGGGGAUAACUACGGGAAACUGUAGCUAAUACCGCGUACCAUAGGAUGAGCCCAAGUGUGAUUAGGUAGUUGGUGAGGUAAAGGCUCACCAAGCCGACGAUCUCUAGCUGGUCUGAGAGGAGGACCACCCACACUGGGCCUGCGACACGGCCCAGACUCCUACGGGAGGAAUAAGAGGGGAAUCUUGCGCAAUGGGGGCAACCUGACGCAGCCAGGCCGCGUGAAUGAAGAGGGCCUUCGAGUUGUAAAGUUCUUUCGGUAGCGAGGCGUUAACUACAGAAGAAGCACCGGCUAACUCCGUGCCAGCCGCCGCGGUAAUUC
rnacentral:rRNA from 1 species